UUUUGGUGUUGAUGAUGGAGGCGUAUUUGUAGCUGGAGGCUGUGUGCUUCCACAGACUGCAGAUGGCUAGCACCAUUAAUCGGAGGAGUUAGGGAAGGAGCUCCACCAAAUCGCCCACGAUUUCGUUUGAGAAAACAACAGCUUUGUGAAAACUCUCAACAAAGAAAUAAGCUUAAUCUGGCGACGAAUCACUCCGAGUUAUACGAACACAGAUUAAAAAAUUGAAUUCGAAUGCAAUUCGAGCCAAGUGUGUGUUGUGUGUGCGAUGAUUACAUACAUACACAUUCAAAUACAUAACCACUGCAGAGAGAGAUAAGAGAGAGAAGAAAAAGAGAGAGAAGAAGAGAAGAGAGAAAGAGGGAGAAAAAGAAAGAGAGAGGAGAGAGAAACUUGCGAGAGUAAAAAGAGGAGAGAGAGAGAAGAGAAAGAGAGACCUGCCGGAGAAAAAAGAGAGAG
rnacentral:lncRNA from 1 species